ACAUACUUUAGUAGUACAGAAUAGAUAAGUAUGAUGGAGACUAGAGAGAUGAGAGCAAUAGAGAGAAGAGAAAGCAGUAGAGCAAAGGAACCCAGAGAGGUUCCACCAACCGGUUACGUCGGCACCGAUGUAGCGGCGGUGUUCAGGUUUCAACUUACAUAAUGUCGUCGUAGUAGGUGAACAUCUCAAGACAUAAGUCUCAAACAAGCACUCGAUGAUGGCGACUAGGGUUUCAACGAAGGUUCCGACAACUUUGCAGCGGUGGCGUGGUAGUCGAGGACAUGACAGUGAAGAGUAACCCUGGUGGUGGUGCGAUGAUGGACCAGACUGUGUUCCAAAAACAGGCCUUUCAGUCCAAGCAUGGAAAGGCUUAUUUCUUUAGUAAGGUGUAAGUUUUCCUUACUAUGCUGAUGUGGCUUUAUCUAUCCAAACUGAUAAUUUCGAUAUGAAGUUGAGAUAAUCAAUUUUUAGUCUUUUAAGUAAUCUGAUAUUGAUUUCGAGUUUCUGAUUCUCGAGGGGUAGUUCGUAAGAAUAAAUAUGUGUGUGUGUGUGUAUAUAUAUAUAUAUAUAUAUAUAUAUAUAUAUAUAUUAAUCAUUAAUAUAAAUGUAAAAGUAGCCAACUUUAUGCAACUGCUUAUAAGUUAUAUGAUUCUGCUUUAGAACUUCGAGUAACAAAAAUCACCCGAGAGUGUGUUUUACUGAGUAAAUGUGAUCGUUGGCGUAAAGGAAGAUAGACUGAUGAUGACUGGGCUGCACACAGUUGCUGAUAUUUCUGCGUCAAAUGUGGAUCAAUUGUUGGAUGGACAUACGAAACGACGCAUGAUGAGGCCCAAAAGUACAAGGAAGGGAAAUCAGUCCUGGAACGGUUAGUAUACCUGUUUAUAGGGCUGCAAACAAACGAAACGUUCGGGGAAUAGUUCUUGAACCGUUCGACGAGAUGUUCGUUUGUGUUCGUUCGUUUGUUAAACGAACGAACACAAACAAGAAAUUUCGUUUGUUUAGUUACAUGAGAACACGAACAGAGGCUGCGUUCGUUCAUUUAUAUUCGUGAACGUUCGGAGUCGAUUUCUAAGGAUUUGGAAGACAAGCUGCACCAAGGUGAACUUUUUGACGCAUUGGGUUUAGCUAGAAAUCCAGAUCAAUCACCAAACGUCUACUUUUGAGUAACACAAUUUACCUUCAUUUUAAGUAAUCUUGUAUUUUCAAAAUUUUGGUUUUUUGUUGACGCGAAAGAGCCUCUCGCUUACGCCUUAGCGGAGAUCGUUGCCGCAUUAGACAUGAAAUGUUCCGACAUGAAUGGGCUAGCUGACCCUUAUGUAAAGGGUCACCUUGGUGCUUACAGAUUUCGAACCAAAACACAAAGGAAAAGACUAUCUCCCAAAUGGCAAGAAGAAUUCAAGAUCCCAAUUACUACAUGGGAAUCACCCAAUCUUCUAAUCAUACAAGUCUGUAACAAAGAUCACUUUAUCGAUGACACCCUAGGGUUCGUUAUCUUCUUUAUCAAACUCGUAUCACAUAUCUAAUCUUGGUGCUUAUAUAACUUCCAUUUUUUGUGUUAGUGACUGUUCUAUAGAGAUCAACGAUCUUAGAGAUGGCCAGAGACACGACAUGUGGUUACCUUUUCAAAAUAUCAAAACAGGAAGAUUACAUAUCGCGAUACAAGUAAGCGAAGUUGACACAAAGGUAACCGAACAACCAUGUGACGCCAAUGCAUCAACAAAUGAGUUGAGCGAUGAUUCUCCCGUAAGUGACCAUCCCAGAAAGAAAUCUGGCCCGGUCCAGUGGCGGAUGACUUUGAACCCAUUGACGUUGAAGGCCAAUGAGCGACUGGCAUAUGGGUUCACCAUCCGGGCACAGGAGCCCCACAAGUUUGGGAGCCCCGGAAGGGGAAAACCCAGGUACAAAAAGGUAGUGAGUCAGUGGGUAGUAGCACAAAAUCGGGAUUGUUUCCAGAUGAUGAGUUUCUCCGACGACAGCCUUGAAGGUAGUAACAAAAUAAGUGCAAGAAACCGGGUCAAGUGAGGGUUAAGUAAGAUUGGGUUAGCAUUGAACCGAACCCUUAAAACGGAUAAUGAUUGAGUAAUUGACUUAAAGGUUUUAAGAAAACGGAUACAGAUAACAAUUGGGAAUCAGAGUCUCCAUCUCCAUGCCAAAACGUCAGGGCGGUUAAUGAAAACGGGGUCACGGUUAACUUGAUCAUGGAAGAAAACAUGUUGUCAUCGGGUCAGGACCCGAAACUGGAUGGAAGUGGACUCGAAAGCGCAAACAACGGGAAAGGGAAAGAUGUGGCGAAACGUGUUCUGAAACGCAUUGGAAACUUAGCUCGAAGUAUGAAACAUGUGUUUUUGGGUAACGUGAAACAUGUGUUUUGCACAACUUAUGUAACUAACACACUUAGUGUUAGUAACCUAAAUAGCAACCAUAACAAAUGUACAAAAUCUUAGUUCCAGCUAAUGUAUCUAACAUAAUGGAUGUAACUCAAUGACAUCUAGCUUAACAUAAAUAUAACUCUAGCUCCGUCGCAUCGCGGCGGGUUACUUUUCUA